rnacentral:rRNA from 1 species
GACGAACGCUGGCGGCGUGCCUAAUACAUGCGAGUAGAACGCUGAAGGAGGAGCUUGCUUCUCCGGAUGAGUUGCGAACGGGUGAGUAACGCGUAGGUAACCUGCCUGGUAGCGGGGGAUAACUAUUGGAAACGAUAGCUAAUACCGCAUAACAGUAGAUGUUGCAUGACAUUUGCUUAAAAGGUGCAAUUGCAUCACUACCAGAUGGACCUGCGUUGUAUUAGCUAGUUGGUGAGGUAACGGCUCACCAAGGCGACGAUACAUAGCCGACCUGAGAGGGUGAUCGGCCACACUGGGACUGAGACACGGCCCAGACUCCUACGGGAGGCAGCAGUAGGGAAUCUUCGGCAAUGGACGGAAGUCUGACCGAGCAACGCCGCGUGAGUGAAGAAGGUUUUCGGAUCGUAAAGCUCUGUUGUAAGAGAAGAACGAGUGUGAGAGUGGAAAGUUCACACUGUGACGGUAUCUUACCAGAAAGGGACGGCUAACUACGUG